UACAGAGGUGGCAAGCGUUGUUCGGAAUUACUGGGCGUAAAGGGCGCGUAGGCGGCCAUCUAAGUCAGAUGUGAAAUCCCCGGGCUUAACCUGGGAACUGCAUUUGGGACUGCAAGGCUUGAGUACGGCAGAGGGGGGUAGAAUUCCUGGUGUAGCAGUGAAAUGCGUAGAUAUCAGGAGGAAUACCGAUGGCGAAGGCAGCCCCCUGGGUCGAUACUGACGCUCAUGCACGAAAGCGUGGGGAGCAAACAGG
rnacentral:rRNA from 1 species